GUAAUAGUUAUAAUCUUGAAACUUAAAAAAUUUGGCGGUAUUUUAGUCAAUUCAGAGGAAUUUGUUCUGUAAUUGAUAAUCCCCGUUGGACCUUACUUAAAUUUGUUUAUCAGUUUGUAUACCGUCGUUAACAGAAUAUUUUAAAAGAACAAAAAUUUUCUAAAUUUUUAAAAAGAAAGUAUUUCAGAUCAAGGUGUAGCUUAUAUUUAAGAAGAAAUGAAUUACAAUAAAAUAAUUUAAAUGGAUAUUAAAAUGAAAAAUUAAUUGAAGGUGGAUUUGAAAGUAAAGUUAUAAAGAU
rnacentral:rRNA from 1 species